AAAAGUUUUUUGUUUUUAAAUGCAAGCUUGUUUUUUUGUUUUUAAAUGCAAGCUUGCAUUUAAAAACAAAAAACUUUUUUCACUGUU